AAAUUGAAGAGUUUGAUCAUGGCUCAGAUUGAACGCUGGCGGCAGGCCUAACACAUGCAAGUCGAGCGGUAGCACAGAGAGCUUGCUCUCGGGUGACGAGCGGCGGACGGGUGAGUAAUGUCUGGGAAACUGCCUGAUGGAGGGGGAUAACUACUGGAAACGGUAGCUAAUACCGCAUAACGUCGCAAGACCAAAGUGGGGGACCUUCGGGCCUCAUGCCAUCAGAUGUGCCCAGAUGGGAUUAGCUAGUAGGUGGGGUAACGGCUCACCUAGGCGACGAUCCCUAGCUGGUCUGAGAGGAUGACCAGCCACACUGGAACUGAGACACGGUCCAGACUCCUACGGGAGGCAGCAGUGGGGAAUAUUGCACAAUGGGCGCAAGCCUGAUGCAGGCCAUGCCGCGUGUGUGAAGAAGGCCUUCGGGUUGUAAAGCACUUUCAGCGGGGAGGAA
rnacentral:rRNA from 1 species